AUUAUAAAUGAUUUUUUUAAUUAGAUUUAAAUAAGAAUUUGACUCUUAAUUUGAUAUAAUGGAGAAAAAAGAUUCAUGUAGCUGACCACACGUAGUGGGAUAAAGUCUUUUGUUGUUGUUGUUGGAAGGCUAAGGAUUAUGACGAUUAGUUUUAGCAUUUUAGGGGAGAUUUUUGGUUAGAACGUUCUUACAAUGGAUGGUCAAGUUUUAUUAGAUCAAAUAGAAUGAGGACCUCCAUAUGAAAAGUUUGGAAUGCUAGCAAAUAAAUAAAAGUAUUUUCAUGGUCAAUUGGAUGUGCGGUUAGGAAGUAAUGAAUUUUUUAUGUGGAGUAGUCUACAAACUUGAAGAUCAUAGAGUUCAGCUAUCUCCUGAUUGAGUUGAACUCAUGAUAUGCCUGGUGAUUAAAGUUUCCUUAUACAUUUUGAGAAUCUUGUUUGUUAUAUAUACCUUAAUGAUGGAAGAGAGUUUUUUAUAUAUGUCAGAGAGCGCUUCAUGACUCAUAUUAAGUCAUUUCAUUUAGAAUGUGGAAGGUAGCAUUCAUGGUCAGGGUGGUAGGUAAUUCCAGCACUUGACUCUAUUAGUUCCAGAUCCUGAUUAAUGCCCUACUUUUAUCAAUUGAUGUAAUUUUCUCUGGUAGAGAGUGUUAAAGCACAAACAAGAAAGUACAUUUCUUGACACGUGUAAAGGCUAAAGCUAAUAUGAUCCUAAGGCUUUGUGUAUAAAUACAAGACUGUACAUCCCUUUUCAUCAUUAAGUCUUAAUAAAACAAUUUCAUUCCUUUUCCAGAUUUUCUGUUUUUUUUUCCUCUGCUUGCUUCACCGCCUAUGCAGUUUAUCAUGGUAUCAGAGCAAAGGUCAGAAAUCUGAAUCUUUUUUUUUUCUCUUUCCUUCUUCCUCCCUCUCUGCUCUUUCUGUCUUCUAGUUCUUUCUUCAACGCCCAUGGAAGCCUCAUCAACCUCUCAACCCACCAUACAAUCCAACCCACAAACACCCGCCCCUAUCAUUCGACCUCAACUCAAAUUCCUUAUAAGCAACAUCAAGAAUCUUGUCCCAACCCUUCUCACCUCAGAUAAUUACCCAAUCUGGCGGUCCCAAGUUGAGAAGAUCUUCAAUGCAAAUAGUUUCAAAGGUUUUCUUGAUGCUUAAACAUCUUGUCCACCAAACUCCAUCACUCCAGACGGCACAACCGCUCCAUCACCGCAAGAAUCUUGGACCUUAAUAGAUCAACACCUCUCCGCCGCGCUUUUUUCUACCAUUACUCCGUCCAUCCUCCCCUAUGUCCUGUCCGCAUCUUGCUGCCACGAAAUCUGGACAACUCUAGCCCAUCGUCUUUAAUCUACCACUCGCUCUUGCCUCAUCCAGUUAAAAAAUGAGCUCCAUCACCUGCCCAAAGGAGACAAACACAUGUCUCACUAUCUUCUUUAGGUUAAAGCAAAAGUCGACGCUAUAACAACCACUGGCAGCACGAUCGAGUCCGAAGACAUUAUACUUUAUACACUUAACGGACUUCCCUCCUCAUACUAAUCAUUCAAGACGGCUAUACGCACAAAUCUUCAGCCAUUGAAUCUUGAUGAUUUCUACAGCCUCCUCUACAGCGAAGAGCAAAACAUCUUACAAGAUGCCUCCCAAGAUCUUCAGGCUUUAAGCCUCACCGAAAAAACUUUAGCUCUCACUGUCUCACGCAGAAGUGGAUGUGGCCGAUCUUACAUAAACCGCGGCACCCGUGGACAACGUUCCCCGCAGCAACCUGGUCGUGGUGAUCACUCAACUAACCGCAAUGUCACGUGUCAGAUCUGCAACAAAUAUGGUCAUUCAGCCAUUCACUGCUGGUAUCGCACAGAUCCAGCAUAUACCGAAGCCACACAAACGUCAGCCCUGUUCAGCCCAUCGGAGACUCCACGCCAGAAUGACUAGUUUCUGGACAGUGGUGCCUCAGUUCACCUAACGACUGAUGCAACUCAACUCAACAACUCCGAACCGUACACAGGCUCCUCCCAAGUCGAUCACUCUUGGUAAUGGUCAAUAGCUCCCGAUACAAAAUACAGGUAACGGUAUACUUCCUACUCCAUCAGGUACUCUCUACCUUCACAAGAUUCACCAUGUACCAAAUCUUGCAUUCAAUUUAAUUUCAGUUCACAAAUUAGCUCUUGACAAUAACUGUAUUAUUUCGUUUUCUCCAUACGAUCAAAUAAAGGAUUUGACGACCAAUCGUCUUCUUCUUCAAGGCACAUGCCAUAACGGCCUCUACAUUAUCCCUCACAACACAUCAACCUCCAAACUUGCACUUCUCUCGAUUCAAGCCAUCCCUGAUCUAUAACACCAUCGCCUAGGCCACCCCGCCUUCUCCACCGUUCACUAUUAAGCUCGAUCUCAACCCAGCAUAUGUACUGACUCUUUUAAUAGUUUUUGUAAUACUUGUCACAUUGCCAAGAGCAAACGUCUUUCUUUCCUACCCUCUACGACUACUACCUCUGCACCAUUUGAACUUGCACAUUCCGAUGUAUGGGGUCCGUCCCCGCAUACAUCUAUGCAAGGAUAUCGUUACUUUGUCACUUUUAUUGAUGAUUUUACUAAAUACACUUGGGCUUAUCCGCUAACUAACAAAUUUGAUGUAACGAACUCCUUUAUUAAUUUUCACAAGUUUAUCAACUGCCAAUUUCAUCGAAACAUUCGCACAAUUCGGACUGACGGCGGAGGUGAAUACCUCAAUAACAUAUUUAAAUCUUAUUGUACUCACCGGGGAAUUCGUCACCAAUAUACCUGUCCUUACACACCGGCACAAAACGGAGUCGCCGAACGCAAAAAUAGACAUCUUAUUGAAACCAUUCGUAGCCUUCUUUUUCAUUCUCAUGCUCCGUAUUCACUAUGGGCAGAUGCUCUCCACACUGCCAUCUACCUAAUCAAUCGGCUUCCCACUGCCACACUAAGCAAUAGCACACCUUACUACUAUCUCUAGAAUAAACAGCCAACUUAUAUGCAUCUUCGCAUAUUUGGGUGUUUGUGUUACCCAUGGCUCAAACCAUAUUCUCAAUCAAAACUAUCACCCCUAUCCACCCCUUGUGCCUUUAUCGGCUACGCCAAAGAACAAAAAGGAUACCGCUGCCUCGAUUUAUCUACCAAUCGUAUAUAUGUUUCUCGCCAUGUUGUAUUCAAUGAGCGCAUUUUCCCUUACGCACAGUCUCCUGUCACUACUUCUACACAUAACACACAUGAAUCUUUACAUCACCUUCCUCCCUUACUGCUUGUUCCUACAUCCAUGAAUUCCACUUCCCCACGUCAACACAACAGUCAGCAACACAAAACUCCUCCACAUCAACAUACUAUUCCACAACCCAGCCCUUCAAAUGUCUUAAACACUCCCUCAGCUUCGGCUUCACCCACCUCCACAAACAUCACUCAAAAUCCAUUAGUCACAGCUACUACUCCUCAUACCCGACCUCAACAUCACAUGGUGACCAGACUGAAAACAGGCAAUUUAAAGCCUAAGCAAAUCUUUGAUCUUACACAUCAAACUCGCACAUCGGAUCCCACCACUUAUGCCCAGGCAUCCAAAUUCGAACACUGGAGAACCUUGUCUCAAGAAUUUCAGGCCUUACAAUCUCAGGGCACUUAGGAGCUCGUCCCCGCAAACUCAACUUCAAACCCGCUCGGCUGCAAGUGGACAUACCGCACCAAAUAUAACUCAGAUGGAACCAUUGCUAGACACAAAGCCCGUCUCGUUGCAUUAGGAUAUAAUCAAGAAUUCAGAUUAAAUUACACUGAAACGUUUAGCCCCGUAGCAAAAAUUUCAACAUUAAGCGUUCUUUUACUUCUUGCUCUAAAUCAAAACUGGAAUAUCUGCCAAUUAGACGUCUCAAAUGUUUUUUUAUAUGGCAAGCUUAUUGACAUUGUUUACAUGAAGCAACCUCCUGGCUAUCUAGACACAAACUACCCCAAUCACAUCUGUAAACUCAAUAAGGCUCUUUACAGACUCAAACAGGCCCCUCGACAGUGGUUCGAAACACUCACAGGAAAUAACCAGGAAACCAUAGACAAGCUGCUUCACGCUCUACACAAAAGGUUUAACAUGCGGAAUCUUGGCAGUCUAAUGCAUUUCCUAGGCAUCUCCACUGAUCGGACCGAGACAGGCCUUCAUCUACACUAACAGCAGUACGCAGAAACAAUUCUCCAAAGGGCUGGCAUGCUCAACAGCAAGCCAGUAUCAACACUAUCCCAACUCAAGACCAGCACUUCAACUACUUCAACACCAUUUUCCAACCCCAAACUCUGCCGUCAACUUGUUGGAGCCCUCCAGUACCUCACCCUUACUCGCCCCUACAUCACAUACUGUUAAUAAAGCAUGCCAACACAUGCAUCAACCUACAUAACUUCACUUUGAGUCACUCAAACGCAUUCUAUGGUACAUUCGUGGAUCUCCCGCUACGGAAUUUCUCUCAAUCCUACCACCACCUUCACCAUUAGAGCUUACACCGACGUUGACUGGGCUGGAGACCAAUCUGACCGGAACUCUACUAUAGGCUACUGUAUUUUCAUAGGAUCUACAUUGAUCUCUUGGAGUGCAAAGAAGCAGACAACUGUUGCCCGAUCAUCAACGGAGGCGGAAUACCGUGCUGUCGCCUCCACCGCAACAGAAAUCAUUUGGCUCCGCCGACUACUACAUGAGCUCGAUUGUACCCAGCAUCAACCAACCACACUAUAUUGCGAUAACACGUCCGCUAUUGCCCUCGCCAACAAUCCAGUCUAUCAUGCCCGGACUAAGCACAUAGACAUUGAUUGUCAUUUCAUUAGAGAAUGUAUAAAAAAUAAAACUAUUCAGCUUCAUCAUAUUGCAUCAAAGGAUCAAUUGGCCGAUCUCUUCAUCAAAGCUUUAACAAUCUCCAGAUUUCAAUUUCUUCUUCCCAAACUGAUGACAACGGGAACUGAUCGACAACCCGUUGUCAUCAAUUUGCAGGGGCAUGUUAAAGCACAAAUAAGAAAGUACAUUUCUUGACACGUGUAAAGGCUAAAGCUAAUAUGAUCCUAAGGCUUUGUCUAUAAAUACAGGACUGUACUUCCCUUUUCAUCAUUAAGUCUUAAUAAAACAAUUUCAUUCCUUUUCCA